UACGGGAAGUUGAGAGUUUCAGAUCAGAGCACUGCAGCCUAUCACAACAUGUUUGAAAACAUGAAGCUCAGAACUGUCGCCACAGGGGACAAGCGCCACCAACUAUGUCACCACUGGAUUGGCCCGCAAUGAAUGUUAAUGAUUUUCAUUGAUGAUCUCGGAGUGGCGUUUGUAGAUGCAGAAGUAGAAAGAAAACUGUGUGACGGUGGAUCGUGGAAUGUCGGGCCCUCUGCAAAUGACUUCUCAUUGGGUGUUUCGUGACUACCAUCCGAUCUGGGCCAGUGUGAAUUACAAAUAUUUCAUAACAAUGUCAGAACAAAUGCUCCUUUGUUGAGAUGGGUUUGAUUUGACUUUUCAUUUCGGUUUUGGAUCUCGACAAGGUGAAGUUUAUAUCCACAUAGGUGGUUAUUUUGUUCUUGGCAAUGAAAAGCAAAACCAGCCCUUAAACGGAAAACACGUUUUAAGUAUCCAGGUGCUGAUUUAAUGUGAUGAACAGGAUUUGGAGAAUGCAGGAUGUAGAGAAAGAAGAAUAAUAACAGACUGUGGUAAGAGAAUGGAGACACAAGAAAGACUGCAGAUGUUGGAAAUCUGGAGCAAC